GCCGAGUUGGUCCAGUGGUUAAGACGUCUCUCCCACAAAGAGUAAUCCUUAAGUGCAGAGAAGGUCGCGCGUUCGAACCGCGCACUCGGUA